AUGGCCUGUGUUGUUGUUCCGUUGAAUUUUAAUGUGUUCCUAGAGAAAGCUAAGUUGAAAGAUGAUGGUAGUAACUACACGGACUGGGUCCGUAACUUGAGGAUUAUCCUCAUUGCUGCACAGAAGAAUUACGUCCUGGAAGCACCGCUAGGUGCUAAACCCACUGCAGGAGCAACGCCAGAUGUUAUGAACGUCUGGCAGAGCAAAGCUGAUGACUACUCGAUAGUUCAGUGUGCCAUGCUUUACGGCUUAGAACCGGGACUUCAACGACGUUUUGAACGUCAUGGAGCAUAUGAGAUGUUCCAGGAGUUGAAGUUAAUAUUUCAAGCAAAUGCCCGGAUUGAGAGAUAUGAAGUCUCCAAUAAGUUCUACAACUACAAGAUGGAGGAGAAUAGUUCUGUCAGUGAGCAUAUACUCAAAAUGUCUGGGUAUAACAAUCACUUGAUUCAACUGGGGGUUAAUCUUCCGGAUGAUAGUGUCAUUGACAGAAUUCUUCAAUCACUGCCACCAAGCUACAAGAGCUUCGUGAUGAACUAUAACAUGCAAGGGAUGGAUAAGACAAUUCCCGAGCUCUUCGCGAUGCUAAAGGCUGCGCAGGUAGAAAUCAAGAAGGAGCAUCAAGUGUUGAUGGUCAACAAGACCACCAGUUUCAAGAAAAAGGGUAAAGGGAAGAAGGGGAACUUCAAGAAGAACGGCAAGCAAGUUGCUGCUCAAGUGAAGAAACCCAAG
rnacentral:rRNA from 1 species